GACAGAGCCUCAAGCACUCCUGGGGACCGGGCUGACUUUUCUCCACUGGCUUGGUUGGGAACUGGCUUCUUCGGAGCUGUGUAGUCUUAAUUUGCUUUGCUGCUGGCUGGCUGACAGCUGAUGGGGGACUCCUCAGGACGGACUCCCUUCCAGAUGCACCCAUCUCCAUCCUUCUCAACUCCCCAACCUUUGUCCUCCCCACUCUUCGCUCGCGCGGCGGUCUGAGACCACCAGGACCAGUUUCAGGGGUUUCCUUCUCCAGCGAGACUUGGCAGAACAGGCUUUAAAAGCAAAGGAGGCAGCGGAAGACUGUGAAUUCCUUUGGACAAUUGAUGAUAUUUAUCAUUGUGCCCAGUUUCUACAAAUAAAAGAUGGGUGGAUUAUUUUCUCGAUGGAGGGUUGAACCAUAUGAAAUUGCCAGUAUUCAACUGCUUGGACUUAGCAAAAUGUCAGUUUCAUAUGGUUAACCCUAAUGUUAACAACUCUUAUGGAAACUACAAUGAACUGAUAUUCAUUACCCUCUUGGAUUGUUGAGUAUGUAAUUGACAAAACCUUCAACUGUAGAAGUUCUAGAAAGUAUAGAUAAGGAAAUUCAAGCAUUGGAAGAAUUUAGGGAAAAAAAUCAGAGAUUACAAAAAUUAUGGGUUGGAAGAUUAAUUCUGUAUUCCUCAGUUCUCUAUCUGUUUACAUGCUUAAUUGUAUAUUUGUGGUAUCUUCCUGAUGAAUUUACAGCAAGACUUGCCAUGACACUCCCAUUUUUUGCUUUUCCAUUGAUCAUCUGGAGCAUAAGAACAGUAAUUAUUUUCUUCUUUUCCAAGAGAACAGAAAGAAAUAAUGAAGCAUUGGAUGAUUUAAAAUCCCAGAGGAAAAAAAUACUUGAAGAAGUCAUGGAAAAAGAAACUUACAAGACGGCUAAAUUAAUUCUUGAAAGGUUUGAUCCGGACUCAAAGAAAGCAAAGGAGUGUGAGCCGCCAUCUGCUGGAGCAGCUGUAACUGCAAGACCUGGACAAGAGAUUCGUCAGCGAACUGCAGCUCAAAGAAACCUUUCUCCAACACCAGCAAGCCCUAACCAGGGCCCUCCUCCACAAGUUCCAGUAUCUCCUGGACCACCAAAGGACAGUUCUGCCCCUGGUGGACCCCCAGAAAGGACUGUUACUCCAGCCCUAUCAUCAAAUGUGUUACCAAGACAUCUUGGAUCCCCUGCUACUUCAGUGCCUGGAAUGGGUCUUCAUCCUCCAGGUCCACCUUUAGCAAGACCUAUUCUCCCCCGAGAACGAGGUGCUUUGGAUAGAAUUGUUGAAUAUUUGGUUGGUGAUGGUCCACAAAACAGGUAUGCACUUAUAUGUCAGCAGUGUUUUUCUCAUAAUGGCAUGGCUUUGAAGGAAGAAUUUGAAUACAUUGCUUUUCGAUGUGCCUACUGUUUUUUCUUGAACCCUGCAAGAAAAACCAGACCUCAGGCUCCAAGACUUCCUGAGUUUAGUUUUGAGAAGAGGCAGGUGGUGGAAGGUUCAAGUUCAGUUGGUCCCUUGCCAUCAGGAAGUGUGCUUUCAUCAGACAACCAGUUUAAUGAAGUACAGUAUUGAGGCAGUCUGUCAGACAGAAUAUGACAAACUAUGUGGGCCUGUUUUCACUUAAACAUGUUUAUUGAAUCUUUAGAACACGAUGUUCUUGAUGAUAAUACAGAGCAGACAGAUGACAAAAUACCAGCUACAGAACAGACAAACCAAGUGAUUGAAAAAGCAUCUGACUCAGAGGAACCAGAGGAGAAACAAGAGACUGAGAAUGAGGAAGCCUCAGUGAUUGAAACCAACUCCACAGUUCCUGGAGCUGAUUCUAUUCCUGAUCCUGAACUAAGUGGAGAAUCUUUGACGGCAGAGUAGUAAAUGCUUCCACGUGCCUUCAACUGGAUAUUUAUAGUCUUACUGAUGUCAGUUAUUGCUUUUUCGGUGGCACUUACUUUUUUUGCCCCUCUAAGGGUAUGCUUGUGUAUCAUUUGAAUUCAGAUUGCCUAGCUAUUUGAACAUCUCAAAGUUAUAUAUACUGGGUAUUAAAAUUAAAAGCAAGUUAUAUCAGUGAAGUAAGAUCCUUUUGAAUGUACAAAGACCCACACUAUUGAGACAGCUUUUAGAUACUUUUUUGUCCAUUCUAAAAGUAAGCAAACAUGAUUGCCUUCUUGUUUUCUGUAUGUAUAACCCGUAAAUAUCCAUUUUGACAUAGGAAGAACUUUGGUUAAGAGUAAGUUCUCUAAUUGUGUUUGUUUUAAGGAAUGAAACUUGGUUAAGAUUUUGACUACUUCAUUAUUAAAAAUUGAUAGAAUUUUAGCUCCUGAGAUAUUUACAACUGGGAGAAAUGUCUAUUUAGGUGUUUACAUUAAGCGGUAUGAAAGUUGUUACCACAUAGGCACUGGUACGAAUUCUCAAUAAGAAUGCAGUGGAACAGUUAAGUAGAACUGUAACUACGUUGGCACUGGUACGAAUUCUCAGUGAGAAUGCAAUGAAACAGUCAACUGCAGUGUUUCUUUUUGAUGUCUUUUAUUUUACAACUGGGCCAAAGGCACAUUAUGUAUAUAAUUAGUUUAUAUUUACACACUAGCAUAUAGGAAAUAUUUCUGCACUUGACCCUAUUUGAAUUCUGAGCAUUAUUUAUAAGUAUAAAAUGAUGAUAUAUAAGUGAAUUUUGUGCUCUUGUUUGUAUUUUAUUAAGGAAAAUGAAAAUAAUCUGGCAUCAGUUUCAUUUUGCUAAAUAUCUAGUCUUCUUCAAACAGUAUCUUGGUGGGUGACUUGGCUACCUGAAAAAUCUUAGGAGGAAUAGCUCACAAUACAAUAAAUCUGUAGAUUCUGCUUAGAGCAAAUUAUGGUACUUUUAUUCAGACUUGUUUCCUUUCUAGUUAACAGAAAUAGUGACAUUUAGAGGUUUUAAUCAGAAGUUAGGUUUUUCUGAUUCAGGAACAUCGUAGGCCAGCCAUUUGUAAUUUUUAACUUUGAGAAACAAAUUUUGUGAGAAUAGGUAGUGGGUUGCUGGUAGUUAAUUGGAUUUAAUAUUUGUAUUAAGGAUUAACUGGAAAAAAUGUGUCUCAGUGCUAAUUCUUGGACCUUUAAUACAGUGUGCUUAUCUGUUACGGCCUCCUUUUAUCUCUCUUCUCCAAUAUUAAAAAAAAUGGAAAUCAAAUUAUUAUGCUGAAGGGAAAAAUAUACCUGUAUAAGAAUGGUGUGUUUGGCUAAUGUUUCUAAGUUGCACACAGUUUAUUAACAACUGAACAAAACAUUUUUAUCAUUUAAAAAUCUAUUUUUAUGAUUUAAUAUCUCAUAUGUGACAGUUUUUUUUUUUUUUUUUUUUUGGAACUCAAUCUGUUAACAGUCUGGGACAUCCGGUAUAGUAACCAGAGUUUUUGAGCCUGCCGUAUUGGGCUUAAAUUUCAGGUCUGUAGUCUUGGGCAAGUCACCUAUAAACUCACUGAGAUUAUUUUUUCAUCUGUAAAAUGGGAAGAGUUAUGUUUAUUUUUGAAGGGUAUUAGGAUAAUUAAAAAUAAUGUAAUGUGCCUAGCACACUACCUGAAAACGAUGGCAUUUGUUCUUAUUAAUGUCUUUAAAAUAUGCAAGGACCAUAAGUUUUUCCUCUUGCAGAUGAGGAAAGUAAAAAAUAAUACGAACAUGUAAUUCAGCUUCUCAGAUUCAAGCCAAUGUUUUUUGCAUCAACUUUUCUAUAUUGUAUGUAUGUAUAUAAAUACAUAGAUUAAGGAAAUAGGAAACUGAAACUCUGUGGAAUAUAAACUUUUUAAAAAUAAUUUCAUCAGGUUUUUUGUAUGUUACUGACCCAUAUGGAUUUUAGUAACAUCUUGCUUAGUCAUGUUGUUAUAAAACAUUCAAAUUCUGAUAUACAUUGCUUGAAAAUGAGUGAGUACCUCAGAGAAAUUUGAUAGACUCAAACAGAUAGUAUGAGAAAUAUCUUUGAAAGAAAUAUGGAGGAAGGUUAAAAGGGGAUUAGUAAAAUUAAUGCGAUAGGUAACAUGUUUGUAACCAUAUAGUAUCCUUUUAGAUACAAAAGCUUAUUUUCAUUAUUAUUAUAAUAAACAGUUAAUGGUUGAAACUUAGUAAAAUGUCCUAUUUCUGAUUAUUAAGACUAGUAUAAAUGAGAAAAUCCAAGCUAUUAAGUACCAUUAGCUACAGUGAUCUUAGCUUCCUUGCUUACAAUUGUUCAGUGGGUCAUCUAAAUUCUUCUAUGUCCUGAGCAUGAUCUACAAACAUGGUCUAGCUUCUGUCUCUCCGUCUUCCCGCCAUCAUUGUGCUGUAGCCAUAUGGAACUCCUUUCAGUUCUCUGACCAUGCCCUUUCCUGCCUCAGAUUUCAGCUUAAAUUUUGCCUCCUCAGAGAGAUGCCUUCCCAAACUCCCCAUCUGAAGCUGGCCUCUGCCUUUUACUCCCUAUCAUGUCACUCUCUGCUCACCAUCCUUAUCACAAUGUGUAUUUGAUUUGUUUGCUAGUUUACUGUCUUCACAACAUAAUGUCCGUUUGUGCAAGGGUCUUAUUUUUCUUAUUCAUGUCUGUAUCUCAAGGGUCUAGCACAAUGCUUGAUGCAUAUUGUGUGAAUAAAUACUUUGUUGCCAAAUCCAGUGAAAACUCUCAGUUCUUGUUUCACUGCUUGGCAGUAUUGACAUUGAAUAUUCUCUGAGAUACUUUUUUUCUUUUGGCUUUUCAUAUAUCACACUAUUAUUCUCUUAUUUCUCUGGCCUCUUGCUCUCAACGUCCUGUAAGUGUUGGUGUUCCUUAAGUUCUACCUAGUGUCAUCAUUUCUUCAUUCUGCAUAUUCUUUCCCUAGGGUUUCUUCCCAACACCAAAGGACUUACCAUCUGUCUCUCUGAAUCUCAGAUCUCCAGCUUUGAUCUGUUUCCUUUACUUUAGAGCUAUAUAUUUGCCUGCCUACUGGCCUGUCUCUCACAAUCCAUAUAUUCAAGAAUGAACACUAUACUUUGCUUCAAACCUUCAGAACAUUCAAACCGUUUAUGUUUCUCAUCUAAUCAAAUAGAGUUACUCUCUAAGCCAGAAGCUGUAAACUCAUCUCUUUUCCCUUUAUUCAAGCUGUCAAUUUUUGUCUCCUAAACAUCUUCUAGUUAUAUUCUCAUUUCUCUGUUCACAUUGCAUUAAUAAUGAUGAUAAACAUUUGCAUUCUUAUUCUGUGCCAGGCAACAUGCUAACUGCUGUAUAUAUAUUAUUAUAUUUGUACUUUGGCAAGAAUCCUGUGAAGAUUUUUAUCUUUGGACUACUAGAAGAGAAAGCUGAGUUGUAGAGAGAGUAUGUAUUUAAGUCCGUUUGGGCUGCUAUAACAGAAUACCACAGACUGGGUAACGUGAUGAACAAAAAUUUAUUUGGCUCACAGUUCUGGAACCUGGGAAAUCCAAAGGCAUGAUGCUAGCAUCUGGUGAGGGCCUUUGUGCUUUGUCAUCCCAUGCCAGAAGGCAGAAGGGUAAGAGAGGGCAAGAGUGAGCAAGAGAUGGAAGUUGCAACCUCAAGCUCUUUUAUAAUGAGCAUUAAUCCAUUCAUGAGGGCUUCACCCUCAUGACCUAAACAUCUCCAUUAGGCUCCACCUUCCAAUGCAACAGUUAGCAUAAGUUUUCAACACAUGCUUUUUGUAGCAUUCAAACCAUAGCAGGAAGCAACUUUGCUUAAAAUUGUAUACCUGGUAAGUGGAAAAAGAGGGAUUUGAAUAUAGGCAAAUGACUUCAGAGGAUUUACUCUUAAUUUCUGUUGUACUGCCUUCUAAUCUUGGCCUCCAUCAUUUCAGAUUACCAAAGCUGUCUCUUAACUGGUUUCUUUGUCUCCAACCUUGUGCACUUGCUAUCUAUUCUGUGUGCUGCAGCCUGAGUUUUUAAAAAACAGAAAAUGAGGGGCCAGGUGUGGUGGUGGCUCACGCCUGUAAUCCCAGCAAGUUGGGAGGCUGAGGCGGGCAGAUCAUCUGGGGUCAGGAGUUCGAGACCAGCCUGACCAACGUGGAGAAACACUAUCUCUACUAAAAAUACAAAAUUAGCCAGGCGUGGUGGUGCAUGCCUGUAAUCCUAGCUACUCAGGAGCCUGAGGCAGGAGAAUUGCUUGAACACGGGAGGCAGAGGUUGCAGUGAGCAGAGAUUGCGCCAUUGUACUCCAGCCUGGGCAACAAGAGUGAAACUCCAUCUCAAAAAAAAAAAAGAAAGAAAGAAAAUGAAUCUGCCACGCCAUUGCUUAGACCCUUUAAUGACUCUUGAGUGUUCUUGGGAUGAGGUCCAAAUUUACUAAUAAGGCCUGCAAAGCCCUGUGUAAUUUUGCUCCUAGUUAUGGCUGGCAUCUGCACCACAACUACAGCCACUGCCACCUCCCCCUGCCACACACACAUUUUAAAAGUAACAAUAGUAGUGUUUUCUGUGUUUUGCAUAUGCAGUCUUUUCUCAUCUCCCAGCCUUCUUGAGCUUUUCCUCUGCCUGAGAUACGCUCCCACUCACAUAGACAUUGGGGGCACUAAAUAAAAAUAGCUGUUUAAUUGAAUUGGAAUCGUUCCACUUGGAACCCAAGUUUGGAAAUUUUGCUACUUCUUGUUAAGCUAGGCCUUUUAUUCUUGAAGUUGCUAUUUCUCAUACAAACUCAUUUUAUGCAUUAGACACACAGUCACUAUUGUUAUGGAGAACAUAGUUGUAUCAGAAGAGGUAUAGCUUUGGGUGUGGAUGUGCGUGUGUCAGGGGAAAGAUAUUCUGAUUAUAUGAUGAUUUUCAUAAAAUAUAGUAUGCUGAGUUUCCGAAAAUCCUAAAUGACUUAGAAAUGGUGCUAUAUGUGGUUUGUUUGACCCCUGCAAAUCUCAUGUUGAAAUUUGAUCCCCAUUGCUGGAGGUGUUUUGAGCAUGGAGCGGAUCCCUCAUGAAUGUCUUGGCGUUGUCCUUGCAGUAAUGAGUUCUUGCUCUAUUUUUCCUCCCCUGGAAGCUGAUUGUUUAAAAGAGCCUGGUAUCCUCCCUCCCUUUCUUCUUUGCUUCCUCUCUCUUGCUGUGUGAUCUCUGCACACACCAGCUCCCCUUUGCUUUCUGCCAUGAGUGGUCUGAGGCUCUCACCAGAAGCCAAGCAGAGGCUGGCACCAUGCUUCUAGUACAGCCUGCAGAACUGUAAGCCAAAUAAACUUCUUCUUUGUUUUUUUUUUUUGUUUGUUUUGUUUUUUUUUCAGUAAAUUACCCAGCCUCAGGUAUUCCUUAACAACACAAAUGGGCUAAGACACAGGGUCAUAGGGAUAGCAGGCACCUGAGCCAAGCCAGAACUUAGAUCUCAACUGUUAAUGCAGGAUGAUUUGUAUUGAACCAUGAAUUUUACACUGCCUCUCAAUGUUGGUGUCAGCAUUUAAGGUUAUUUAAAAAAUACAACCUGAAGGUUACAUAAAGUUUCAUUUAAAAAAUAAGACCUUAUAAGUCUACUUUUAUUUCCAGUGGACAGCAACUACUUAAUCGUCUUAAAACUUUCUUCUUACAAUAUUACUUUACAAUAUUACCUGUUGGAUUUAUUAUCUGUGUACAAAUCAGUUAGUUGAAGGGCCAAAGAAUAAAGGCAUUUUGUGAAUUAUGAAUAGCUAUUUUGAAAUGGUCAUGGAGACUAGCUACUCUAGAAAAUUGGGAGAAUAUACUGUAUUAAGUUACUAUCUGGUAUAACUUCAAUUAAUUGUGAAAAUUGUAGCAGAGAUCUAGAUAUAGUUUAUGAACUUCUAAAGAGACAUUAAAGGGAAUUCAAGUACUUGUGUAAAGAUGAACCAAGGUAGAGAUGAUUGUGAAUUGGUGAUCUGCUGUAUGUUACAGUUAUGUAAUUUGACUUGUUUCAAAAUUAUUAAAGUUUUAAGUGUAUGCAUUCUACUGGUCAAUAAGUAAAUAUAUUCAGGCUCUGAAUGUAGACAGAUAAAUAUAUAAAUAUAGAAAGUACAUUUGUUAGAAUACAAACAAGAAUAAAAAUUGAGUACAGAAUGAAAACCUUA